AAGAAAUGAAGGAUGUUAGGUUUGGUGUUCUCUUUCUUCUUUCUCCUCGAUCUCUUAUCCAGUCUUUCAGACUGUGUCCAAGUUGAGCAGCCAUCAAACCUGAUAGCACGUCUCACAGAUAAUGUUACAUUCUCCUGUAAACAUGAUGACAACAAUUUAGAUAUCAUGCUUUGGUAUCAGCGAAGGAAAAACAGCACAGCUUUAGCUUUGAUCAGUCAUAACUAUGCCACAGCAAGACCGACCUAUGAGGCUGGAUACACAACACGGUUCAAACACAACAGGAUUGGCACAGUAACUGGAGAUCUGACCAUCUCUGAUCUCAACCUGUCAGAUUCUGCUGUAUAUUAUUGCGCUGUCAAACCACACAGUGCUUCUGUCUCAUCACCUGUCUGACUUAAAACCAAAAGAGCAUACAGGAAGUUCACACCACAGCACAUCAGUUCACUGAUACACAUCACAUAAUGCAUUCCAUCAUAGACAAAUAGGCAAGUCUCUUCUGAACUAAUCUGAGAUCAACAUGACUGAAUGUCUCUAUACAUUAUUAUUGAAUUCACUGAAUGGUGCCUGUAACUGUGUGCUGAUCAUUCAGUGACCUAAA